rnacentral:rRNA from 1 species
CAGUAGCCACGGGAAUACGAAGGGGGCUAGCGUUGCUCGGAAUCACUGGGCGUAAAGGGCGCGUAGGCGGCCGAUUAAGUCGGGGGUGAAAGCCUGUGGCUCAACCACAGAAUUGCCUUCAAUACUGGUUGGCUUGAGACCGGAAGAGGACAGCGGAACUGCGAGUGUAGAGGUGAAAUUCGUAGAUAUUCGCAAGAACACCAGUGGCGAAGGCGGCUGUCUGGUCCGGUUCUGACGCUGAGGCGCGAAAGCGUGGGGAGCAAACAGGAUUAGAUACCCGGGUAGUCCCUGUCUCUUAUAC